AGAGUUUGAUCCUGGCUCAGGACGAACGCUGGCGGCGUGCCUAAUACAUGCAAGUCGAGCGGACAGAUGGGAGCUUGCCCCCUGAUGUUAGCGGCGGACGGGUGAGUAACACGUGGGUAACCUGCCUGUAAGACUGGGAUAACUCCGGGAAACCGGGGCUAAUACCGGAUGGUUGUUUGAACCGCAUGGUUCAAACAUAAAAGGUGGCUUCGGCUACCACUUACAGAUGGACCCGCGGCGCAUUAGCUAGUUGGUGAGGUAACGGCUCACCAAGGCGACGAUGCGUAGCCGACCUGAGAGGGUGAUCGGCCACACUGGGACUGAGACACGGCCCAGACUCCUACGGGAGGCAGCAGUAGGGAAUCUUCCGCAAUGGACGAAAGUCUGACGGAGCAACGCCGCGUGAGUGAUGAAGGUUUUCGGAUCGUAAAGCUCUGUUGUUAGGGAAGAACAAGUGCCGUUCGAAUAGGGCGGUACCUUGACGGUACCUAACCAGAAAGCCACGGCUAACUACGUGCCAGCAGCCGCGGUAAUACGUAGGUGGCAAGCGUUGUCCGGAAUUAUUGGGCGUAAAGGGCUCGCAGGCGGUUUCUUAAGUCUGAUGUGAAAGCCCCCGGCUCAACCGGGGAGGGUCAUUGGAAACUGGGGAACUUGAGUGCAGAAGAGGAGAGUGGAAUUCCACGUGUAGCGGUGAAAUGCGUAGAGAUGUGGAGGAACACCAGUGGCGAAGGCGACUCUCUGGUCUGUAACUGACGCUGAGGAGCGAAAGCGUGGGGAGCGAACAGGAUUAGAUACCCUGGUAGUCCACGCCGUAAACGAUGAGUGCUAAGUGUUAGGGGGUUUCCGCCCCUUAGUGCUGCAGCUAACGCAUUAAGCACUCCGCCUGGGGAGUACGGUCGCAAGACUGAAACUCAAAGGAAUUGACGGGGGCCCGCACAAGCGGUGGAGCAUGUGGUUUAAUUCGAAGCAACGCGAAGAACCUUACCAGGCCUUGACAUCCUCUGACAAUCCUAGAGAUAGGACGUCCCCUUCGGGGGCAGAGUGACAGGUGGUGCAUGGUUGUCGUCAGCUCGUGUCGUGAGAUGUUGGGUUAAGUCCCGCAACGAGCGCAACCCUUGAUCUUAGUUGCCAGCAUUCAGUUGGGCACUCUAAGGUGACUGCCGGCGACAAACCGGAGGAAGGUGGGGAUGACGUCAAAUCAUCAUGCCCCUUAUGACCUGGGCUACACACGUGCUACAAUGGACAGAACAAAGGGCAGCGAAACCGCGAGGUUAAGCCAAUCCCACAAAUCUGUUCUCAGUUCGGAUCGCAGUCUGCAACUCGACUGCGUGAAGCUGGAAUCGCUAGUAAUCGCGGACCAGCAUGCCGCGGUGAAUACGUUCCCGGGCCUUGUACACACCGCCCGUCACACCACGAGAGUUUGUAACACCCGAAGUCGGUGAGGUAACCUUUUAGGAGCCAGCCGCCGAAGGUGGGACAGAUGAUUGGGGUGAAGUCGGAACAAGGUAGCCGUAUCGGAAGGUGCGGCUG
rnacentral:rRNA from 1 species